rnacentral:rRNA from 1 species
GACGAAGGGGGCUAGCGUUGUUCGGAAUUACUGGGCGUAAAGCGCGUGUAGGCGGUUGUUCAAGUCAGGUGUGAAAGCCUUGAGCUCAACUCAAGAAAUGCACUUGAUACUGGAUGACUAGAGGACCGGAGAGGAUAGUGGAAUUCCCAGUGUAGUGGUGAAAUACGUAGAGAUUGGGAAGAACACCAGUGGCGAAGGCGGCUAUCUGGACGGUUUCUGACGCUAAGACGCGAAAGCGUGAGGAGCAAACAGG